AUUGAACGCUGGCGGCAGGCCUAACACAUGCAAGUCGAACGAGUGGCGGACGGGUGAGUAAUGUCUGGGAAACUGCCCGAUGGAGGGGGAUCACUAAUGGAAACGGUAUCUAAUACCUCAUACCAUCGGAUGAGCCCAGAUGGGAUUAGCUGGUAGGUGGGGUAACGGCUCACCUAGGCGAAUAUCCCUCGCUGGUCUGAGAGGAUGACCGGCCAGACUGGAACGGAGACACGGACCCGCCUCCUACGGGAGGCAGCAGUGGGGAAUAUUGCACAAUGGGCGCAAGCCUGAUGCAGCCAUGCCGAGUGUAUGAAGAAGGCCUUCGGGUUGGAAUGUACUUUCAGCGAGGAGGCGUUACUCGCAGAAGAAGCACCGGCUAACUCCGUGCCAGCCGCCGCGGUAAUAC
rnacentral:rRNA from 1 species